AUGCCCAGUGAUUAUAAAGAGACGCGUUAUUCUGAGGAACCCAACCUGCUACCAGUCUUCUACCUUUCCAUCUUCAUCUUUCUUAUCCUCCCUCCACUCCUCCUCUUUUAUUCAAACUGGUAGCUCGUCCGCUGACUGCGACGAUGAGAUAUGAAGGCAU
ensembl:snoRNA SNORD97 small nucleolar RNA, C/D box 97